rnacentral:rRNA from 1 species
CGUUAUAUGUUUGUGUCAUAUCUUGUCUCAGGUGCAGGUGGCCUUGCAGCGAUAUCUUUCCCUAAUGCCAUCCCAGUACUGACGGAGGCACCCGUGAUACAGAACAAUGAGUUAUUCUGAUGCAAAGUGUCUAUUAUUGCUCCUUUCGGGUUUUGUGGACUGUGUCCUUUUGCAAGGUGCAGGUUGGCACGUGGCAGACAGAGAAUUCCUGUUUGCCCAAAACACAGAGGUCAAGUGGUCCUGAUAUUGAGGCAUUAAGCAUUGAUUAUUGUACUUGACCUGGUACUCAAAUGAAGAAUUUCAAUCCAGACUUCAAAGCAAUCUGCAAUCACUUCUCCUAAAUUGGACAUUUAAAAUACUCAUUUUGGGGACUACUGUCUUUCGGUGUGCAUUGUUGAAAUUCUUGGGAUACUUAACUCUCAUAUACUCACAAAUUUUUCUCACUGUAUAUAUCGCAUGAGGGGCUGUACUUGCAGGAUUCUGAACAUUACCAUUCCAUUUUUCUUUGCUUUACGGGUUUUGUAGAACCGCGUAAGAGAUCCCUGGUUCUCUCCUUCCCGAGGAAAUAUCUACUGUCUUCAAUACACACGGUUGAAGUUACAGAAUAAUAUACCACGCUCAGCAUGUUCAGCCAUGGAAAGGGCACACUGCGAUGUUAGAUGUUACUUAAUUGUCUUUAAUGUUGAAAGUUAUGUGUAUGUUAUUAAGCCGUAUGUCGUUUUGAUCUGUCUAUGGGUCAUUUUCGAUGAUCAUUUGUUAACUGCAACUACAAAUGUCCAGUGAGACAGAGGAGACUGGCAUCUGAGGGAGGAAAAAGGCUACUUUAUUUUGGUGCAAAGUUUAUGUGAAAUGUUUAUGUACAGUACAGUAAUGGGGUGCUUUUUGAAAAUUAUAAGCUGUGAGAACAUCAUACUUUAGGGGUAAGUAAGCUGCGGUUCUUCAGAACUCUGGCUGUGUACAACUUCAUUCAUUCCCUCUCUGUAGAGUUGAAAGUGCGGUAUCAUGGGAGUUGUAGGCUAAAACAUCUGGAGAGCUGCAGGAUACCUCCUGAUAUUCACAUAGUGAAAGAGAGGGGGAGAGAGAGGGAAAGGCUACGUAUUAGAUAACAGCUGGUUUCCUUCGAAGUUUCCCUCAGAAUAGCUGGUGCCCAGAUACCCCCGUUUUAACUGGAAUGCAAAUGAUUAGAGGUCCUGGGGUCAGAACAAUCUAAACUUAUUCUCAAACUUUAAAUGUGUAAGGAGCCCAGUUCGAUGUCAUGGAGUCGGGCAUCGAAUGCCAGUGCCCAGUGUGCCACUAAUGGUAAUAAGAACUGGUGCUGCAGGAUGAACUCAACGCCAGGUUAAGGCACAUGAGGCCGAAUCGGAAAACCCCAGAAAAGGUCAUGGAUGAUAUAGACAGCAGAACAGUGGACCAGGAAGUUAGAAUCUGCGAAGGAGUGUGUAGCAACUCACCUGCCAAAUCAACUAACCCUUACAAUGGAUGUCACUGGAGCGUUGGCCCAUACCUGGCUGCGGUAGCUAAGCGGCGACAAGUAGGAGGGCUGCUGUGGUGCACACAGUAGCCCAGGGCAAGUACCUCAGUGGAACUGCUGGAGGGGCAGAUCGUGGUGGUGGUAGUAGUAAAUAUUCAAAUGAGAUCUUUGAAGGCUGAAAUGGAGAAGACUAAAAUGUGAACAGCUGUUGAAUAUGGGUCAGUCAUUCCUAAGAGAUAGGCGACCAUUGUUUGUGACAGGAAAUUACCUCUGUUGCCCUCAACCGAUCAAAACUCUCACUGGUCCUUGUUAAUCCAGGGCAUAUGAUGUAAAUCUCAAUCCGGGCCAUACCCAUAUCCACAGCAGGUCCACAAGGUGAACAAUGUAGGUAAGGGAAGUCGGCAAGUCAGAUUUGUAACUUCAUCAGGCUGGUGCACACAGCCACCUGGGAACUCACCGUAGCUGGACGAGGAUCCCCCCGGGACUCCGCCAACCCUGGACGUGAGCCGGGCCCUUCCUAUGGAUGACCCCAGCCGGGGUGGUCGCCUCUCUCCAUUCCCCUCCCAGGGUUCUGGGCUGGCAUUCUACUUUGGCCAAUGUCUAGCUGUUGACUUAGAACUGGUGUAGACCAGGGGAAUCUGACGGUUUAAUUAAAACAAGGCAUCACAAAGGUCCACAGCAGGUAUUGACACAAUGGGAUUUCUGCCUAGUUCUGAGUGUGAAAAUUGAGAAAUUCAAUGAAGUGCGGGUAAACGGCAGGAGUAACUAUGAGUUUCUUAAGAUGGCUGAAUGCCUCAUCAUCUUAUUUGUGUCAUACUUCAAUGGAUGAACGUGAUUCCCACUGUUCCUACCUACUGUCUAGCAAAUCCACAGCCAAGGGAAUGGAUUUGGCAGAAUCAGCAGGGAUAGGAGAUCCUGUUGAGCUUGACGUUAGGUUGACACUUUGAAAAAACAGGAGAGGUGUAGGAUGAGAGGGAGAGUUAUAAUUGUUUCACUUAGCCAGUGAGGCGGGGGGGCAAGCCCUGUCAGGCUUUUGCUUCUGGUUAAAAGCACCCAGCUCUAGCCAGGCACAACCUGUUCUGGUGACAUUGGCAGCUGGGGAGCUUAACAGGGGUAGUACACCUGCCAAGGUGUCCUAAGGCAAGCUCAGGGAGGACAGAAACCUCUUGUAGAGUGAAGCCAAAAGCUUGCUGGUUCUUGAUUUUCAGUAUGAAUACAGACUGUGAAAGUGGGGUCUCAUGAUCCUUCUGACUUUUGGGUUUCAACUAGGAGAUGUCAGAAAAUUACCACAGGGAUAACCGUCUUCUGGCAGCCAAGUGUUCAUAGUGACAUCACAUUUUGAUCCUUCCAUAUCACCUCAUCCUAUCAUUGUGAACCAGAAUUCACCAAACGUUGGAUUGUUCAGCAACUAAUAGGGAACAUGAGCUGGGUUUAGAUCUUUGUGUGACACGUUAGUUUUACCCUACUGAUGAUGUGUUGUUGCAAUAGUAAUCCUGAUCAGUAUUAAAUGAAACACAGCUUUAGACAUUUGGUGUAUGUGCUUGCCUGAGGAGCCAAUGAGGGAAGCUGCCAUCUGUGGGAUUUUAACAGAAUUCCUCUAAGUCAGAAUCUCACCUAAACCGUAAUGGUACCAGAACACUGUGGAGCCUCGGUUGACCCAUUAUAGCCUGUCCAUGGGUGUUGCAUAGAGCUGCUCACCUCAGGACUCGAGUGUGGAUAGAAGGAGCAGCCUCUCUCGCCUAUUGGGCUCAGCGAAGUGGUCAGGGCCUCUCUCCCAGAGGGCAAGGAUCUCAACG